rnacentral:rRNA from 1 species
GAUGAACGCUGGCGGCGUGCUUAACACAUGCAAGUCGAACGUGAGAGGAUAGCAAUAUUCUUGAAAGUGGCGCACGGGUGAGUAAUACGUAGGUAACCUGCCCUGGAGUGGGGGAUAACAACUAGAAAUGGUUGCUAAUACCGCAUGAAGCCAAGACACUGGGAAGUGACUUGGUAAAAACUCUGGUGCUUCAGGAGGGGCCUACGGCCGAUUAGCUAGUUGGCGGGGUAAGAGCCCACCAAGGCAGUGAUCGGUAGCUGGUCUGAGAGGACGAUCAGCCACACGGGAACUGAGACACGGUCCCGACUCCUACGGGGGGCAGCAGUGAGGAAUAUUGGGCAAUGGGCGGAAGCCUGACCCAGCAACGCCGCGUGGGGGAUGAAGGUCUUCGGAUUGUAAACCCCUUUCGGGAGGGAAGAUGGAGCGAGCAAUCGUUCGGACGGUACCUCCAGAAGCAGCCACGGCCAACUUCGUGCCAGCAGCCGCGGUAAUGUCGUC